GUUCAUUCCAAACCCCUGGCUCCGGCCCAUUCCAAAUCCUGACAUACUACAAUGACACACAUGAGGAUUUGACCCUUUUGUUAAGGUGUGGCCAGUCUUACCUGUUGAUGGUGAAUGGCUGGCGUGCUGGCUGCUGUUUGGGCAUGCAGAUAAUGCUGGGAGAGCUGCGGUUAGGGCUGCCCAGGCCAGAGCUGCCCAUGCUGUUGGUCCUGCCGCUCAUACCCAUGCCCUGCCCUACCUGCGAGCUCAUCAUGUUCCUGGUGUUCAUGGGAAGGAUGCCCCUGCAGAAACACCAGCAAGGCAGGGAUUUAGCACAGCAGAUCACGUCAUCCCACGCAACAUAAAUCACACGGAGGACAUGGCGUACCUGUUCGGCGACGGUGGUGUGUGGAGGGACAUUGUUGGGACGCCUGUGGUUGGGGUGCUAUGGCUCGGUAACUGAGUGCCUUGUGUUAAACUCCGGUUCAGUUGAGGAUUGUUGUUGCUCAUACCUCUUGUUGAGAAACCUAGUGCACCUAUGAAUUAAGAAACACUGAUCAAAUGGUGCUCAGAAUCAGAGUGCAAAGUGUUUUUAUGAGAAGCACAACAACUUAUCAGUAAUCUAAGCCAGAUCGAAGACUUGUACUCACUUUGCGGACCAUACAAACUCGCACCAAGUUGUGACAAUUGACCUGACAAUGACGGCGAGGGAGAUGGCAGCAUCUGUAAACAACGUUUUUUUUUUUUAAAAACUAUGUAAACAGGAUCUGACAUUAUUAAACACACAUAUUAGAAACCUUUUUCAUUUACACAUAUCAGUUGUAGAAGCUAAGAUUUUUGAAAUAAUUUGAUACUUCUUUAAUACAUAUAUAUUUCUCAUGCUGACAAAUGAAAGACACUUUUUCAGCACUAAUGCUAAAAAACAUUAUGAUGCACAGUCGAUGUGUAUUGGAUGCUUUAUCUUUGUACUUUCUCUCUGUUAUGUUGCCAUUCAGAAUGAUGGGAAAUACAAAACAGCUAAAUUCGAA